rnacentral:lncRNA from 9 species
CCUUGGCACAUGGAAGUUCCCAGGCUAGGGGUCUAAUGGAGCUGUAGCCGUCGGCCUGCGCCAGAGCCACAGCAACACCGAAUGUGAGCCACAUCUGCGACCUACACCACAGCUCAUGGUAACAAGGGAUCCUUAACCUGCUAGGCAAGGCCAGGGAUUGAACCCACAACCUCACGGUUCCUAGUCAGAUUCGUUAACCACUGAGCCACGACAGUGAACUAGAAGCCUUUCAUUUUAAACUUUGUAUUUAGCAUUUCCAGUUCUCUUCAUUUCUUCUUGUGGCUUCAAUCUACUAUUUUUGAUAUUUCCUACUCCAAAACAGUUCCAUUCCCUCUUCCAUCCUUUGUCCAAUUAUUUACACAUAAUACAAUUUUUAUUGCCUAUGUAAUUUAAGUCAGAUAAAAAAAUUAGGAGUUCCUGUCGUGGCGCAUGGAAACAAAUCCAACUAGUAUCCACAAGGAUUCGGGUUCGAUUCUUGGCCUUGCUCAGUGGUUGGGGAUCUGGCAUUGCUGUGACCUAUGGUGUAGGUCACAGAUGAGGCUCAGACCCCACCUUGCUGUGGCUGUGGCAUAGGCUGGCAGCUAUAGCCGCGAUUUGACCCCUAGCCUGGGAAUUUCCAUAUGCUGCAAGUGCGGCCCUAAAAAGACCAAAAAGAAAAAAAAAUCUCUUAGAUCUGAGAGAGAACAAGGAAGCAAUGACAUAAAUAGUGAAUCACAGAAACGUAUGACAUUGUACCAGAACUAUGACAAGUAGUAAUGCCUUUAACACUGUAUGAGAUUCAGUUCAAAGUACAUAAUUUGUUUUCCUAAGACUUAAAAAACCUGAUAAUUUUGACAGAACUCACUGAUGGCUUAUAAUUGCUAGCAAUGUGAAUACUGGUGGUUUAGAAGCUGUGUAAAAGUUUAAAGUACUCAGCACAGGAGUUCCCGUCAUGGUUCAGUGGCUAACGAAUCAAACUAGGAACCAUGAAGUUGUGGGUUUGAUCCCUGGCCUCGCUCAAUGGGUUAAGGAUUGCCGGGAGCUGUGGUGUAGGUCACACACACAGCUUGGAUCUGGUGUUGCUAUGGCUGUGGCUUAGGCCGGUGGCUCCAGCUCUGAUUAGACCCCUAGCCUGGGAACCUCCAUAUGCCGUGGAAGCGGCCCUAUAAAAGGCAAAAAGACAAAAAAAUAAAAUACUCAGCACACUGUCAGUGCCCAGAAUUCAAAGAAAAUGAUUAGCAAUGAUAAAGAAUGUUUGUGUUUUGUUUUUCCUCUUUUGGCUGCACCCACAGCAUACGGAAAUCCCUAAGCCAGGGAGCAAAUCUGAGCCAGAGUUGUGACCUUUGCCACACAGCUGCAGCAAUGCCAGGGAUUCACACAGUGCACCAGGCCAGGGAUCGAACUGACACUGACACAGAGAAAAUGCUGGAUCCUCACCCAAUGUACAACAUCGGGAAAUCCUACCUUGCUGUUUGUAACAAAUGCCGUGUUUUUUCUUGAACAAGUAGGAUGAUACUUUCUUUAACAACACAUCAAAUUUUGUUCCCUUCCCACCUCCCCCACCAAAAAAAAAAAAGAUGAGUUCCCAUCACAGCUCAGUGGAAACGAAAUUUGGCUAGUAGUAUCCAUGAAGAUGCAGGUUUGAUUCCUGGCCUCAUUCAGUCGGUUAAGGACCCAGCAUUGCUGUGGGUUGUGGUGUAGGUCACAGACAUAGCUCAGAUUAGGAGUUGCUGUGGCUGUGGCUGUGGCGUGGGCUGGCGGCUACAGCUCCGAUUCAACCCCUAGCCAGGGAACCUCCAUAUGCUGUGGGUACAGCCCUAAAAAGACAAAAAGACCAAAAAAAAAAAAAUUUUUUUUUGUUCCCUUCCAAAACCCAGUACAACCAAAAUUAAGGGAUUAUUUGAAAACUUAACUCACAAGGUCAGGGAAAAACAGUUAAGGACACACCAACAACAUUUUGGACCUAAAAAGUAGAUGAAUGCUAUUUUCUUGGCAAACUUGAAAAACAAAUCCCCAGAGAGCUGUUAAAAGCCAAGAGCCAAUCUGACUCUAUAACUUCAGAAAAAGAAGAACAUUAUAGAUUGUUAUAAAUAACAAACUACCUGAAAUAAUAAAACUCCUGAAGUAAAUUUUAUCAUAAAAUUUAUCAUAACAAAACAUUGAAAAAGUGCCAUCAGAAGUCAGUACUAGAGGAGUUCCCGUCAUGGCUUAGUGGUUAAUGACUGACUAGCAUCCAUGAGGAUGCGGGUUUGACCCCUGGCCUGGCUCAUGGGUUAUGGAUCCGGCGUUGCCGUGAGCUGUGGUGUGGGUCACAGAUGCAGCUCAGAUCCUGUGUUUCUAUGGCUGUGCCAUAGGCCAGCAGCUACAGCUCCAUGAUGUGACUAACCUCUAGCCUGGGAACUUCCAUAUGCCGUGAGUGCAGUUCUAAAAAAGCAAACACACACACACACACACACACACACACACACACACACACAAAAGGCAGUACUAGAGGAGUUCCCAUUGUGGCUCAGCAGAUUAAGAACCCAAAUAGUAUCCAUGAGGAUGUGGGUUCCUUCCCUGGUUUCGUUCAGUAGGUUAAGGAUCUGGUGUUGUGAUCAGCCUAAGCUGUGGCACAGGCUGCAACUGUGGCUCAGAUCUGACCCCUGGCCCAGGAACUCCAUAUGCAAGUCAGCCAAAAAAAGGCAGUACUAUCUAAUGUAUAGUUAAGUAGAGCAUUUUACACACUAACUAGAGGGUUUUUAAAAGACUGUUAAGUAGUGUAUAUCAUUGCAAUCUUAAUAAUGGUUCUGCUGGUUGCAAAACCAUAUAUAACUACCAUAAUGAGACGUUUUAGAAAACUUAGAAAUCUAAACACUAAAUCAUUACCAAUAAAGCUUCAACUAGGUCACAAAAAUGUGUUUUGAUGAAUUACUUAAAUACUGAGUUUAAGACUUGUAAAUUGAUGUGGUUUUGUUGAUUUGAGGGACUCCAAAAAUAAUAGGAGUUCCUGCUGCGGCACAGUGGGUUAAUGAUCCAGCUUAUCUCCAUGGAAGCACCAGUUCAAUCCCCAGCCUAAUACAGGCACUGAGGACUGACAUUGCUGCAACUGUGGCAUAGGUUACAGCUGCAGCUCAGAUUCAAUCCCUGGCCUGGGAACUUCCAUAUGUCACAUAUGUGGCCAAAAAAGAAAACAAAAAAAGUAUUCCUCAGUGUUCAAGAAAAAUGGUUCAAUGUGAAAGAGUUACACAAUGGUAGAGAGGAUGCCAGUCACACCACACAGAAAGUACAGGGUCUUAGCCAAACUUUUAGAAGCCUUCUGGAUGAUUUAAUUUGGAACUAUAUCAUCACUGUAUUCAGUGAUUUCAGGACAUGCAGUAAAAUGCCUAAAUAACUUUAAAUAUUUGCCUCAACAAACUUUUUAUUCACUACCAUACAUUUUUUUUAAAUGAGAGAAAAAUAAAUGAUAUGUCUGAGGAAGUUAGAAUUGGAAUCAUUAUGAAACUGGGAAAACCCGAGCCCACUGUAGUGCUAGGACGGCAAAAGCACUAGGACAUUUUGUCAAACUUUAUAUAUUCACUUUCUUGGGAUAAGGAAUGAUGGAAAUGUAUACCUUAUUUUCUGCACACUCUUCAUGUUUGAACUCAGUCUUCAUAAUGGACGCUCUGGGGUGGCACACCAGAACAUGCUCUGCUCUAAGGAGGUCUGCAUGGCUUCUCCAUUCCCUAAGCAACUCCAACAGGGCAGAAGCAUUGGCAGAGGGUGGAGAGAUUUCCUGGGUGACUGACUUACUGCUGGGCUGACUCCAUAAGUCAUUACACAGAACUAGUUAGGAAAGGAAUCAUUUCCUCAUUGCCUGUGAGGAAAAAGAAACUUAUUUUAGGUGGAACAGUCUGAAUGGGCUUCAACACAAGAAACGAAAGUGAAGGCAGAGCGUUCUCCUGAAGGGGAGGAGAGGGCACUUUGCAUUCCCACACAGAGAUCCCCUAAAGCACCUUCAGGGGGCUCCUGCCUCCCAGAAUUCACUCCACAUCCUGCUGGCCCCACCCUGCUUGCAAGAGGUCAGGAGGAUGGUCAGGAAGGAAGUCAAAUAGGCUGAGGACAGGAGGGUGUGCCCUCUCCGACCUGGUCCUAGGAGUCACAGUUAAUGCAGGUCAACACCAAUUACUUAUCUGAACCCUUCUCUAAACUCUCGGAAGGGAGGGCUGAAAUGGAAGCGUGUCUAUUUCUCUGUUCUGUAACCUCUCCUUGUGGAGCACUAGAGGAUCUCAGGCUAUUUUUCCCAUCCUCCCUUCCUUCUUUAUCACGUGUUGUGUUCAGGAUGAAUUCUCUUGGUAUUGACUUUUGAAGGGAAAAGGGCAGACAGGACUGACUGGGAACUCACAUGCCUACGCAUAGUACCUGAGGAGACGGAGACGGAAGAUGAACAAAGGGGAGGGAAACAAUUUACGCUGCUCAGUGGGCUUAAGAAGAGAAACAAAACUAUUUCCAUGCAUUUUUCUCUUACCCAAAUACACCUUUCAGACUUUCUGCUGUGGCACAAUGGGAUCGGUGGCAUCUUGGGAGCAAUGGGACACACGAUCAUGGGCCUGGCACAGAGGGUCAAGGAUCCAGCUUGCUGAAGCUGCAGCUAAGGUCACAACUGCAGCUCAGAUCUGAUCCCUGGCCUAGGAACUCCAUAUGCCAUGGGAUGGCCAAAAAGAUAGAACAAAUAUACCUUUCACUUCAGUUUUUCCCACAACAUUUUUUUCCCUUUUUCUCCACGGCAUAUGGACUUCUGGGGUCGGGGAUCAGAUUCAAGGUGCAGCCCCAGCCCCAGCUGCAGCAACAGCAACGGCAGACCCUUUAACCCACUGUGCCAGGCCAGGGAUAGAACCUGCAUCGUGACACACUGAGGGUGGCAAAAAGUUCAAGGAACUGGUGGGGCUUCCCAUGCUCUUAACUAAAAUGGUUUCCCAUGUUGGUACCAAAGUCACUCUUGGUUACACUAGAAGAGAGAAAAAAUAAUUAAGUAGGGUUGCAAGUAGUUAUUUUCCUCUUUUAAAAAUCCUUUUAUUGUUGUUGGUAUAAUGAUGUGCAACUUAAAAAAAAUUAAAGAUGGAAAAAUAGUUGCAUGGGUUUUCAUAAUGCAAAGGAAAAAGCAUUUAAAAAAACAUGAAGAUUUACAUGUAUUAUUCAAUAUAAUCUACUCAUAAUUCUGUGAAAUCAUCAGAUAUCAUCAUACCAGAUUAUCUAAAAAAAAAAAAAAAAAAAA